UGGGGAAUAUUGGACAAUGGGGGCAACCCUGAUCCAGCAAUGCCGCGUGUGUGAAGAAGGCCUGCGGGUUGUAAAGCACUUUCAGAUGCGAAGAUGGGUGGUAUGGUUAAUACCCAUAUCAUUUGACGUUAACAUCAGAAGAAGCACCGGCUAACUCCGUGCCAGCAGCCGCGGUAAUACGGAGGGUGCGAGCGUUAAUCGGAAUUACUGGGCGUAAAGCGCGCGUAGGUGGUUUGGUAAGUCAGAUGUGAAAUCCCCGGGCUCAACCUGGGAAUUGCAUCUGAUACUGCUUGACUAGAGUAUGCUAGAGGGAAGUGGAAUUCCGGGUGUAGCGGUGAAAUGCGUAGAUAUCCGGAGGAACACCAAUGGCGAAGGCAACUUCCUGGGGCAAUACUGACGCUGAGGUGCGAAAGCGUGGGGAGCAAACAGGAUUAGAUACCCCCGUAGUCC
rnacentral:rRNA from 1 species